rnacentral:tRNA from 1 species
GGUCAGGUAGCUCCCAAAGGUAGAGCAUCGGUCAGAAAAAAAGGAGUGUUGGCGGUUCGAUCCCGCUUCAGACCACUA